rnacentral:rRNA from 1 species
CUCGUGAGUGGCAAGCGUUGUCCGGAAUUACUGGGCGUAAAGCGCAUGUAGGCGGUCUGGUAAGCGGAGGGUGAAAUCUCGGGGCUCAACUCCGGGGCUGCUCACCGAACUGUCAGACUCGAGUGCGGGAGAGGGCAGUGGAAUUCCUGGUGUAGCGGUGGAAUGCGUAUAUAUCAGGAGGAACACCGGUGGCGAAGGCUGCUGCCUGGAACGCGACUGACGCUGAGAUGCGAAAGCCAGGGGAGCAAACGGG